UCCAAUGCAAGAGUCUUUCGGAUGUAAGCAAUAUCAUCAAACGACUGCAGUUCUGGCAUUCCUGAACCAAGCAUCAUGGAGAACAGAUUUAUGAAGAGAUUGGCAUGUUGCCGAAUUGCUAGUUCUUUCCUAGCACAUCUUGCAGAAUGUCCCAAGCUACAUGGACCAGCUGCAGAGAUGGUAUCACAGAAGCUACAGGAAAGAGUAGAUGGUCAAGUGACCAACAAGGCUACCUACCAUGCAGCAAGACACUGAAAUUUUCUGUGAGCAGGUUCUGGAAAAAGGACACUCCACCCAGCUUGUAAAGCCAGCUGCAGUCACACUGCCCAAGUCCACAGGCCAGUCUAGGGAAAAGCAUUUAUUCUCUUUAGAUGACUUAGCUUAGCAACAGCAUUAAGAAUCUCCAAUUACUCUUCAGCCUUCACAAGAAGGAAAUUCUUCCAUCUAUUAUGCACCAACUAGACAAAAUAUAACGAAUAUAAGAAAGCAAGAAAUGUGCUGAACCACUGCAUUAAAUAAACUGCAUGCAGGAUGCUUAUGCAAAAAAAGUACAUGUCCUAGAAAGAACUGUGAAAUCGUGCAAGGCAGAAAGUCAGCUAAACUGGAUUCAAAAGACCAGGCUCAUACUCAGUACAACUUUACUAAUUUACAUUGAAGGUAAAUUAGUUAUUCAGUACUUAAAGUCCAUUAGCUUUUCUAACUUUAAGAAAUUUCAUUACAUUGUGUUCAAAGACAGGAUAUAAGCAAUGGCUUAUAUUAUUCUGGGUUACCUUCUGUAACAAGUAGUUGGACUUGUGUGUAGAUUUGAUUUCUUCCUCA